rnacentral:misc_RNA from 1 species
GAUGAAGAACGCAGCGAAAUGCGAUAAGUAAUGCGAAUUGCAGAAUUCAGUGAGUCAUCGAAUCUUUGAACGCACAUUGCGCCCUGUGGUAUUCCGCAGGGCAUGCCUGUUCGAGCGUCAUUUCAACCCUCAAGCUCUGCUUGGUGUUGGGCCCUGCCCGCUGCGGCCGGCCCUAAAGACAGUGGCGGUGCCGCCUGGCCCUGAGCGUAGUACAUCUCUCGCUCCAGUGCCCGGUGGUAGCCUGCCAGAACCCCAACUCUCGUGGUUGACCUCGGAUCAGGUAGGGAUACCCGCUGAACUUAAGCAUACCAAUAAGCGGAGGA